UGGAAGUAUAGAGGACCGCCAAUGUUAAGGCCAAUGUUAAGACACCAAAUGUUUCACCACCACAGGUGUUUUCACUUGUUUUGCCUGAUUUGACCUCUUCUCGGGACUGUGUGGGCUGUAAGACUCCUUUUUUUUGUUACGUUUUAAUUUAGGGACAAAUGAUCCGAGAAAUACUGUUUACAGUGUCUUCUGUGGGUUAUGCAUGAUAACGGAAACAUUGUCUCGGGAAAGAAAUGUCGCAGUUGAAUUUUGCAAAUGUAAACUGUCACUGCUGCGAGCACCAGAACAACGUAUCAUUCACCGCCAUUGUACUGGGAGGGCGGCAGAGAUGGAUGUCUGAAAACAAAAACAAAACUAUUUGCACGGCUAGAUAGCACUAGAGGUCAGUCAUCAUAGAGCCAAGGUUUAGCUGUGACUGUAAACACAGCCAGCACCCAGCCUGAAGCCUGCCUUCUCUGAUCUGCUGACUCACUCUGCACAUAGCGGACCAUUCAGUCCAGGAGGGGGAGAUACCAGGAAGAGGUCCUGUUUGAGGGAGGAGUGAGCAGUGAUAAGAGUCAAUAAGAGGGCACAGGCACUGCAGAUAGAACGACCUGCCACAGAGAAACCUGGAGAGGGGUGAGAAAUCCUCCAUCGAGGUACACUUCCUUUUUAAUAAUGUUUAUAGAGGGAAGCAAGGAGAUGUUUUUAUUUAACUAAAAACCACCAACACAGACACUCAACCCUAAAGACUGACUUUCACUCUGCUAUUACUGUCUUAUCUUGAGCCAAUGAGGAUGCGAUAUGGAGAAAUUAAAUACUGAUGUGUGUGGGGGUAGAGACAAAGGCUUCUUGUGUACUGUUCCCGAGCACAGGUUAGAGGAUUCAGUUACAGUCAUGCUCUUGCUGCCAUGACAAAGGAGGACACACGCAUCACUCUGUGGCACUGUCUCCUUUGGCAGUCGGUGGAGUGAGAGAUCACAACAUAAUUUCCAGGCAGGAAGGAACAUGCUGGUGGAACAUGCGUGAGGCAGAAGGCCACUGAACAGGCGUGAACAUUAACACAAACACUGCCAGUCAAAAUGACUGAUUACCUUGGAGGGCGUGCUGUGAAAAGUCAAUUCAGCACUCAAACCCCCUCUAUCCCCCAGCCUUUAAAUGCUGGCCCACAAGCCAACAUGCACCUCUCCCUGGUUUGUUCAAAAUGUAUAAUCAUUAAAAUACUACCAGUGGUUGGUCUUCAUUGUAAUUUCUAAGUUGUGUGGUUUGAAACUCCUUGUGCCUAAGCUGUUGCUAUUAGUCUUCCACAGCCACACUUACAAGUUGAAUGUCUAAUUUGAAAUGUCCCAAACUCACUGUGAUUCUAAAUUGAUUUUACACAGACUACAAUUCUGUCCUUAUUUAAAGCUAGAAAAUGUGGCGGAGCCCUAGUUACAAUAGUAGAGCUUAUAGAUAACAUAAAAGUUACAGGAUAUGACAUUAUACUGUGUAAUUCCUAAGCACUGAGAUGAAUGCAAACCUAAUGAAGUUAACAAACAAUAAAGCAAUUUUUAUCCUCAGUGCUUUAGCACAGUGUCUGCUACUGUAAGUGCUCACAUACCAGUUGAGUCUCACUCCCAGUGGACUUGGUCAGGGCUUCUGUUUUCUCUCUCUGUAUUUAUAGCCUGUUUUCUAUCGGAGGAAGACUAGCUGUCCUCAAACUGCCCUUCACAUCUGCAGAAACACUAGCCUCUAGUGCCACCACACAACCAGACCCUGAUAUAUCACAUUCUCUUUUGUGAACUCCCUGACACCCGGAGCCUCUCUUACAAGAAUACUGCGCAGCACCCAUUUGAAUAAUGAGUGAUUAUAAUUAUAUUAUUUAUUUGUUUAUGUUUUAAAAUAUUGUGAGGAUUUCGGCAGCUACUUUGUAAUGUUAGCAACAUUUCGGUUAUUAAACUGGUGUACAGCUCUGUCAUGCUGACAGUUAUCUAGUUGGGUCUUAGGUCGGUUGACCAAAAGUAAACUGUACCAACAGUACCUGCAAGAACAGUUAACAGAAAUAGUUUGACAUUUUGUGAAUUACAUUUGUUAGAUGAAUCCUCCUUCCAAUCCUUAUCUAAAUCUCGACAAGAAAGCUACCACUCUCGUGUACGUAUGCUAAAUAUGAUGCUGCAGCCAGUUAGCUUAGCACAACGAUGGGAAACAGCAGGAAACAGUUAGCCUGACUGUCUGAAGGUAACAGAAUCUGCAUAUAAGCACCUCUAAAGCUCACUAAUUAACACACUAUAUCUUGUUUGUUUAAUCUGUACAAAAAAAAUUAAGUGUAGGAACAACAAUUUAUGAUUCAGAACCAGGCUACCUGUUUCCCCUUGUUUUCAACAUAAAUCAAUUUAUCUACAGUUAAGGGCCUUAAAAAGUAUUUUAAAAAGUCUUAAACGCCAUUUUCCGAGGUAGGCUAUUCAAUUUCGUAGCUUGUUUUCAGUAUAUUUAUUCUUUAAGAAAAAAAAAAGUUAAUUCAAAACCCAGUUCUUUAGUAACGAAGAAUACCGGUAAGAAUAUUGAUAAAGAACAGGCCGAUAAGUAUAUGGAUAACAUAAAGAUACAAUCCUAAAGAUACCCACCCCUACAGCUGGUUAGUGGCUUCACCCUGAUUUUGGGAGGAUGAGCAAAUUGCAUUUCAAAUCCCUUCACUAUAAGCCUUGUUUAACCAAUGUUUUGUGAUUAUUAUUUUUUUUAUGGCACACAGGCAACUACAACCUGUGUGUGCUUUUUUAAUACUCUAAAAAUAUGGGAAAAUGCAAAGUCUCCCUGCAACCACAGCACCGCGCUGUGCUCUGUGCUUUGUGUAUUUUCCUGAUUUUUUUUUUUUUGUCCUUUUGUCAAUCACAUGCCUGAUUGCUGAUAUUACUCUUUCUAAUAAAACUUGCAUUGGGUUAGUCACUCAAUUCAACUCGAAGUGGCGAUGAAAUCUUGAAAAAUGUAUAGAAAGUCUUAAAAAGGUCUUAAAAGGUAUUAAAUUUAACUUCAGGAUUCCUGCUUUUUCUAUCAUGGCCUGUAUCUUAUUUGCAUUUAACAAAUAGGUACAUGGAGGGGUAGCAGAGAUCAGACCAUGUUGUCAACUCUUUGUGUUGUUACAGUUGAAAUGUCUAUUUUGAUAGCCAAACUCUGUUUCCUGCAAAUUUUUGAUCUGUUGACAGACACGUGCCCUCAAAUAUCUGACAGCGCAUUUUUAGAUUUAAUUUCCAUUGUGUUCCUCAUUGUCCCAUAUUGUAGCAGCGUAAAACAACUCUUUAACUCCAUGUCCAUAUGGCUUCUCUUAGCGGUUGUUUGCCUAGAGCCCUUUCUCAGUGACCGUGUCAAACUGCCUUCCUCGGAUCAUGGGCCUUUGACAGGAGAAUAGAUUGCAUGUAUUUAUAUUUCACAGAAAAAAUCAGCAGUCUAUUGCCUGAGGGUCUGGUUGCCUAUCAACGUCCUUCACGAUUGUUGGAGAGGGAAUAUGUCACACUUUCAUCUGUCAACAUGGACAAGAAGAAUGUUGUUUCAGGUUUCAAAUGGAA